GCACCUGAAUCUUUCCUGGUCCUGACUCUGCAGUGCAGGCCUGGGGACAAAUGGUGCUACAGAAAUGCACAGCAAAUCCAGGCAAAUUCUCUUGUAAAGAAACUUGUCUCUACAGCUUUGCAACAUUU